ensembl:lncRNA
CCCUAAUGAAUCCAGGUCCUCUGCCAGGUAUGACAGAGCGUGCGUGGAGGCUGGCAUGGGGGCUUCUAAAGUUCUUUUGUGGCCCUGCAGGGAGGCAUAAGUGUGGUUCAGGCCAAGUGAGAGGUACUAAGGGAGAGUGCCAAGCCUUUCUCUGAGAGCUUUACCUAGGUCAUCUCACCAAGUUCCUACACACCCUGUGGCAUAGGCACUUUCGAUGUCCCCAUUGCAAAACUGAGGAGCCCAAGCCUCAGAGCAUUAGGAAAUGUGUUCCAGCAUCAAGGGCUUUUCCAGUGAGUCGGCUCUUCACGUCAGGUGGCCAAGGUAUAGGAGCUCUUACUUUGCCCUGGGCAAACUCCCACUUGCCUGCCCUGCACUCUGCACCCUGCAUCUCCUCCUCCUUUGGGACAUCUCCACAAAUGUGAAUUUGUUUCUGUGACCAAUGACUUCUUUCUGCCUCCCCACUGCUAAUGAAGAGAGAGGGCAGGAUCCAUGCCUACUUUCACUGGACAUCUUAUCCCUCCAACACCCGACAAGCCUUUACUGGAGGAGGUGGCAAUGAGAGUAAACAACAGCAAGUGAGCCCUUGCUUGCUCACUUCCUGUGGUCAGGGGGCAAGUUUGUUCUUUAUAUCAGGUGAGAGUAGGGGUAUGUCCAGGGAUCAGGCCAGUUCCAACAGUUUGAAGUAAGGCUCAUGGUGGCUUAAGGAAUUCAGAGCAUCCCAGCAGAAAGUGACCCUGGUCACUAUAGGUCCUUGGAAGAGUCAGCAAGGGACUUCUACACAUCUAGGGUAGGCUAAGUCUGUGGCUCCUGAUCAGCAGGAAGAAGUCUCAGAAGAAGAGAUUCAGUGCCUUAUUCCCUAAGAAUAAGGAUGUAGAGUCUCUCAGCAGGGAAUGAGACAGGUUGGGAACCUGGGACCCUGGGACCCUUUGCUGCGGUGCUUGCAUUUGGACACACCUCUCCUUGAGCAACGAAAUACAAAGAAACUGUAUAGGACUGAAAAUAACUUCCAACAUGGGUGGCUGGGGCAAGUUCUGGACAAAAAGAUACAAAGGGACCUAAACAUCCAAUUGUCACUUCUGAAGAGUGCCUGGAUUCUUUCAGUCUGGCAUAAUGUUUCUAAG